rnacentral:rRNA from 1 species
CGCUUUUGGAGCGGCCGAUGUCUGAUUAGCUGGUUGGUGGGGUAAGGGCCUACCAAGGCGACGAUCAGUAGUUGGUCUGAGAGGACGACCAGCCACACUGGGACUGAGACACGGCCCAGACUCCUACGGGAGGCAGCAGUGGGGAAUUUUGGACAAUGGGCGCAAGCCUGAUCCAGCAAUGCCGCGUGAGUGAAGAAGGCCUUCGGGUUGUAAAGCUCUUUCAGUCGAGAAGAAAAGGCUGCAGUGAAUAACUGUAGUUUAUGACGGUAUCGACAGAAGAAGCACCGGCUAACUACGUGCCAGCAGCCGCGGUAAUACGUAGGGUGCGAGCGUUAAUCGGAAUUACUGGGCGUAAAGGGUGCGCAGGCGGUUUUGUAAGUCAGAUGUGAAAUCCCCGGGCUUAACCUGGGAAUUGCGUUUGAAACUACAAGGCUAGA